rnacentral:rRNA from 1 species
AUUGAACGCUGGCGGCAGGCUUAACACAUGCAAGUCGAGCGGGCAUAGCAAUAUGUCAGCGGCAGACGGGUGAGUACGCGUGGGAACGUACCUUUUGGUUCGGAACAACUGAGGGAAACUUCAGCUAAUACCGGAUAAGCCCUUACGGGGAAAGAUUUAUCGCCGAAAGAUCGGCCCGCGUCUGAUUAGCUAGUUGGUGAGGUAAUGGCUCACCAAGGCGACGAUCAGUAGCUGGUCUGAGAGGAUGAUCAGCCACAUUGGGACUGAGACACGGCCCAAACUCCUACGGGAGGCAGCAGUGGGGAAUAUUGGACAAUGGGCGCAAGCCUGAUCCAGCCAUGCCGCGUGAGUGAUGAAGGCCCUAGGGUUGUAAAGCUCUUUUGUGCGGGAAGAUAAUGACGGUACCGCAAGAAUAAGCCCCGGCUAACUUCGUGCCAGCCGCCGCCGUAA